GUGUCUGUAGCUCAGUUGGAUAGAGCAACGGCCUUCUAAGCCGUGGGUCGGGGGUUCGAAUCCCUUCAGGCACGC
rnacentral:tRNA from 1 species